AUAUUUUAUAGUCACUUUAAAAUUCGUGUGAGAACAUAGCGAAAUGUCACAACGGUUCUGAACAAAAGUGGUCCUCCUCAAAGGGAAGUAUUUGGAUGGAAGAAGAUCAGUCAGCAAUAAGAAAGCUUGGCUGGACGAAUGCAGAAGAAACUAUCGCUUCGAUAUGGGGCGAAAGUCACUGAAGAAAUUCCCAAUACUGUGGCAUUUGAUGAUUCCAGUGAAAUUCCCGUAAUCAUAAUAGAAGAUGGUUCCAAAGUGCCGCUACGACAAAACUAAAAACAACAACAUAAUUGCG